UCUACGGGAGGCUGCAGUGAGGAAUAUUGGUCAAUGGGCGCGAGCCUGAACCAGCCAAGUAGCGUGAAGGAUGACUGCCCUACGGGUUGUAAACUUCUUUUAUAAAGGAAUAAAGUGAGGCACGUGUGCCUGUUUGUAUGUACUUUAUGAAUAAGGAUCGGCUAACUCCGUGCCAGCAGCCGCGGUAAUACGGAGGAUCAGAGCGUUAGCCGGAUUUAUUGGGUUUAAAGGGAGCGUAGAUGGUUUGUUAAGUCAGUUGUGAAAGUUUGCGGCUCAACCGUAAAAUUGCAAUUGAUACUGGCAGUCUUGAGUACAGUUGAGGUAGGCGGAAUUCGUGGUGUAGCGGUGAAAUGCUUAGAUAUCACGAAGAACUCCGAUUGCGAAGGCAGCUUACUAAACUGCCACUGACAUUGAUGCUCGAAAGUGUGGGUAUCAAACAGGAUUAGAUACCCUUGUAGUC
rnacentral:rRNA from 1 species